UAAGACAGAGGGUGCAAACGUUGUUCGGAAUUACUGGGCGUAAAGCGCGUGUAGGCUGCUCGGAAAGUCGGAUGUGAAAGCCCUGGGCUCAACCCAGGAAGAGCAUUCGAAACUCCCGAGCUCGAGUACCGGAGAGGAAGGCGGAAUUCUCGGUGUAGAGGUGAAAUUCGUAGAUAUCGAGAGGAACACCUGUGGCGAAGGCGGCCUUCUGGACGGUUACUGACGCUGAGACGCGAAAGCGUGGGGAGCAAACAGGAUUAGAUACCCUGGUAGUCCACGCCGUAAACGAUGGGUGCUAGGUGUCGCGGGAUUUGACCCCUGCGGUGCCGUAGCUAACGCAUUAAGCACCCCGCCUGGGGAGUACGGCCGCAAGGCUA
rnacentral:rRNA from 1 species